rnacentral:tRNA from 1 species
GGUUCCAUAGUGUAGCGGUUAGCACAUCUGCUUUACACACAGAAGAUCCUGGGUUUGGGCCCCAGUGGAGCCA